rnacentral:rRNA from 1 species
AUGGCGCCGCCGCUGCCGAGCCGCGCCGCACUUGCGCUCAUCGUCGCCGUUGCCGCGCUCCUCGUCCUCGUCGUCGCAGCCGAGCUAGACGCGGGCAGCAGCACGUGGGCAGCGGAGGAUUACGGCGGCGGCGCCGUCACCGCCAUGCGGGCGGCGUGCAGGGUGGAGGACGAGGAGGGGUGCGGCGGGGAGGCGACGCUGCGGAGGCAUCUGGGAGGGGGCGGCUACAUCGGCUACGACGCGCUGCGGCGCAACGCCGUGCCGUGCUCGGUCCGCGGCGCGUCCUACUACAACUGCCGCCCCGGCGGGCAGGCCAACCCCUACUCCCGCGGCUGCUCCUCCAUCACCCGCUGCAGAGGCUAG